CCCCUUUGCGAUGACACUAAAGACCUGAUGUCACGCGAAUAUUCAGGGCCUAGAGCUGGAUGUAGAGGGGCGUGGUUAGUCAGGAUUGCAGAGCAGCUGAGCCCUGCCAGAUCCUCCUGGGAGGUCCCCACCAGCAGCUCUGAGACCCUCACUACCCUCUUCUACCACCCCAGUGGCUCCUCCACCACUGGCUCUGCAACACCAAGAGUCCGUGCCACCGGACACCACCCAAGCAGACACGCCCCCGGCCCCCACCAGCUCCCGCAGUGCUGCUGCCUCCCCGCUCCCUCCCCAAGCACACCGGCCCGGCCAGGUCCCUCACCUGUGCAGCCCCGAAGUCGCCUUCUUCGCCGAGGUUGGCCGCCUCUUGCGAGCACACGGAGCUCCGCUGUUCGCCCGGGCCGGGGGGGAGCCCGGCGGGGAAGCAGGGCAAGAGGGGCCGGAGGAACCGGAACUCGCUGUUGACGGUCCCGGCGGCGAAGCAGACGUUGUAGACGUAGCUGCGGGGCAGGGAGCCCGCGUUGCUCUCCGUGGCAGCCUUCGGGAAGGUGGGCAAGGUCUCGGCCUCGCUCCGCCUGGCGCGACGCAGCCUCACCACCGCGGCGGCCACCGCGGUGGCCAGGAAGAGCGCCGACACGCAGGCCAGGCAGACGAUGAGGUAGAGCGUCAGGGGUCCGCCGGGCUCGGCGGCCGGCGCCUCCUCGCUGUCGCGCACGUGGGCGUCGGAGAAGCCGUCCACCAGGGCGAUGCCGAGGGUGGCGGUGGCGGAGCGCGGCGGCUGCCCGCGGUCUCGCACCAGCACGACGAGCCUCUGGCGGGGCGCGUCCCUCUCGGCCACGGCCCGCGCCAUCCGCACCUCGCCGCUGUGCAGCCCCACGCGGAACAGCCCCGGCUCCGUCGCCUUGGCCAGCUCGUACGACAGCCACGCGUUCUGACCCGUGUCCGCGUCCACCGCCACCACCUUGGCCACCAGGUAGCCCUCCCGCGCCCAGCGCGGCACCAGCUCGCCCGCCGUCGCCAGGCUGUCGCGGGACGGGUGCAGCACCACGGGCGCGUUGUCGUUCUCGUCCCGCACCACCACGCGCAGCACCGCCUGGGCGCUGAGCGGCGGCGACCCGC
rnacentral:lncRNA from 1 species